rnacentral:rRNA from 1 species
CCUACGGGAGGCAGCAGUGAGGAAUAUUGGUCAAUGGUCGCGAGACUGAACCAGCCAAGUAGCGUGCAGGAUGACUGCCCUACGGGUUGUAAACUUCUUUUAUACAGGAAUAAAGUGCGUCACGUGUGCCUUUUUGUAUGUACUUCAUGAAUAAGGAUCGGCUAACUCCGUGCCAGCAGCCGCGGUAAUACGGAGGAUCCGAGCGUUAUCCGGAUUUAUUGGGUUUAAAGGGAGCGUAGACGGGUUGUUAAGUCUGUUGUGAAAGGUUGCGGCUCAACCGUGAAAGUGCAAUUGGUACUGGCAGUCUUGAGUACAGUUGAGGUAGGCGGAAUUCGUGGUGUAGCGGUGAAAUGCUUAGAUAUCACGAAGAACUCCGAUUGCGAAGGCAGCUUACGAAACUGCCACUGACAUUGAGGCUCGAAAGUGUGGGUAUCAAACAGGAUUAGAUACCCGAGUAGUC